GCCAAGCUACUAAGGGCUGGCGGUGGAUGCCUCGGGUGCGGGAGGCGAUGAAGGGCGUGGUAAGCUGCGAUAAGCCCCGGGGAGUCGCACACAGGCGUUGAUCCGGGGAUGCCCGAAUGGGGAAACCCGGCUGGGGUAAUACCCAGUCAUCCAUGGGUUAAAAGCCUAUGGAGGCAAUACCAGGGGAAGUGAAACAUCUCAGUACCCUGAGGAAAAGAAAUCAACCGAGAUUCCCCGAGUAGCGGCGAGCGAAAGGGGAGGAGCCUAAACCAAGCAGGUGUUAAAGCCCGUGGGCGUUGCCUGCUUGGGGUCGUGGGACUAUGCUGGAGAGGUCCACGGACCUCUCGGGGAGUUACAAAACUGUCUUCUUAGCUGAAGGCGCCUGGAAUGGCCCGCCAGAGAGGGUGAAAGCCCCGUAGGCGAAAAGAAGACAGUCUCCCUGGGCAUAGAUCCCAAGUAGCACGGGACACGUGGAAUCCCGUGUGAAUCAGGGGGGACCACCCUCCAAGGCUAAAUACUACCCGCACACCGAUAGCGCAAUAGUACCGUGAGGGAAAGGUGAAAAGAACCCCGGGAGGGGAGUGAAAUAGAACCUGAAACCGCCAGCCUACAAGCAGUCGGAGGGAAGAGGUAACUCUUCCUGACGGCGUGCCUUUUGCAUAAUGAGCCCGGGAGUUACCGUUGGUGGCAAGGCUAAGCCGUUUAGGCGGAGCCGUAGCGAAAGCGAGUCCGAAAAGGGCGCCCAGUCGCCAGCGGUAGACCCGAAGCGGGACGAUCUACCCAUGGCCAGGGUGAAGGUGGGUUAAACCCCACUGGAGGCCCGAACCGAUGGAGGGUGAAAACUCCUCGGAUGAGCUGUGGGUAGGAGUGAAAAGCUAAUCGAGUCCCGUGAUAGCUGGUUCUCCCCGAAAUGCAUUGAGGUGCAGCCUCGGGUGGUCGCUGCCGGGGGUAGAGCACUGUUUGGGCUAGGGGGCUUACCGGUCUACCAAACCCAGGCAAACUCCGAAUACCGGCAAGCGUAACCCGGGAGUGAGUCUUAGGGCGAUAACGUCCUAAGUCGAGAGGGCAAGAACCCAGACCGCCAGCUAAGGUCCCCAAGUUCUGGCUAAGUGGUAAAGGAGGUGCCCCUGCUUAGACACCCAGGAUGUUGGCUUAGAAGCAGCCAUCAUUUAAAGAGUGCGUAAUAGCUCACUGGGCGAGCGGGGGUGCGCCGAAAAUUACACGGGGCUUAAGCCAGACACCGAAGCUGCGGGCUGAAAGACUUAAAGUCUUUCAGCGGUAGGGGAGCACUCUGGUUGCUGAUGAAGGUAGAUCGACAAGGUCUACUGGAGGUACCAGAGGAGAGAAUCCGGGCACGAGUAGCGAUAAGGAGGGUGAGAAUCCCUCCCGCCGUAAGCCCAAGGUUUCCUGGGGAAGGGUCGUCCGCCCAGGGUUAGCCGGCCCCUAACCUGAGGCCGAAAGGCGUAGGGGAUGGGAAGUGGGGUUAAUAUUCCCCUGCCACCAGGGUGGAGACCAAGGGGUGACGCAGGAGGAAAGGGCUCCGGGGCUAAAUGGUUAGCCCUCCAAACCUUUAGCCCGAUGAUGGGCAGAGGCAAAUCCCUGCCCGGAGGGUGAGGGGGAGUAAGUAACCGAGAGCUACGGCUCUCGGGAAGGAGCUCGGACCACACUGCCAAGAAAUAACCUCGUGGUCGUUGAAACCCUGGUGACCGUACCGCAAACCGACACAGGUGGGCGGGCAGAAUAUGCUCAGGCGCGUGGGGUAACCCUGGCUAAGGAACUCGGCAAAUUAGCCCCGUAACUUCGGGAGAAGGGGUGCCCGCAUUAGGUGUAAGUCCUUGCGACUGAAGCCGAAGCGGGUUGCAGGGAAGCGGCGGUGGCGACUGUUUACCAAAAACACAGGGCUCUGCUAACUCGUAAGAGGACGUAUAGGGCCUGACGCCUGCCCGGUGCUGGAAGGUGAAGGGGUGGGGUCAGCGGAAGGAUAUUCUUUCCGUAAAGCUCUGCCCUUAAGCCCCAGUAAACGGCGGCCGUAACUAUAACGGUCCUAAGGUAGCGAAAUUCCUUGUCGGGUAAGUGAAGGACUUGCCCGUGUCCGGCUCAUAUCGGGGGAGCCCUCCUACCCUUGAAAAAGGGUGUGGGGUAAUCCCGAGGGAAGCUCACGGCUCGUGAGGGUCGUGAAGCCCCGUAACGACUGACCCGAAAGGGGAGGCACACCCUUUGAUCUAAACUAAAAACUAUAGGGUGUGCAAUACGCCGGCCGUGGCCCGUGGGGAUAGUUCCUCACGCAGAAAGGCCUAUGGAGGUUAAGUGUUAUGUUAGAUCCUUGGUAUGUGACAGGAUUGACUGAAGGAGAAGGUUCUUUUAGUGUUAGUUUUACCUUGCGGGAUAGAUUUAAAGUAGGAAUUGAGACAAGACCCUCUUUUUCCAUUUCUCUGAACAGAAGAGACCUUGAAUUAAUAAAGGAGAUUCAAAAAUUUUUUGGAUGCGGAGGGAUUAGAUUUUCUCGAAAGGAUAAUUGUUAUAAAUUUGAGGUUCGGUCUGUGGGGGAUCUUGUAAGAAGAAUAAUUCCCCACUUUGAAAAUUAUCCCUUGCAAGGAAGCAAGGCUAAAAGUUUUGAAGGUUUUAAGAAAAUUUGUAAGAUGCUGAGAGCAAACCUUCAUCUUUCACCGGUUCAUUUAAGGGAGAUCAUUGAAAUUGCUUAUGAGAUGAACCUCUCGGGGAAGAGGAGAUAUAAUAAGGAAGACCUCCUAAGGGUCUUGGCCACGAGAAGGUAUAGUCUACCCCUUACCGAAAGGUAAGAUAAGGGUGAAGUUCCGACCUGCAUGAAUGGCGUAACGACUGCCGCGCUGUCUCAGCCAGGGGCCCAGCGAAACUGUAGUCUCGGCGAAGAUGCCGGGUACCCGCGGUGGGACGGAAAGACCCCGUGGAGCUUUACUGCAGCUUGGCAUUGAAUCUUGGGGUAGGAUGUGCAGGAUAGGUGGGAGGCUGUGAAGCGGGGGCGCCAGCUCCCGUGGAGCCAUCGGUGAGAUACCACCCUUCCUGCCUCAGGGUUCUAACCUGCGGAAGUUAGCCUUCCGAGGGACAGUGCCUGGUGGGCAGUUUGACUGGGGCGGUCGCCUCCUAAAGAGUAACGGAGGCGCCCAAAGGUCCCCUCAGGUGGUAUGGAAAUCCACCGUUGAGUGUAAGGGCAUAAGGGGGCUUGACUGCGAGGCUGACAAGCCGAGCAGGGGGGAAACCCGGGCCUAGUGACCCGGCGGUCCUGAGUGGAAGGGCCGUCGAUCAACGGAUAAAAGUUACCCCGGGGAUAACAGGCUGAUCGCUCCCAAGAGUUCACAUCGACGGAGCGGUUUGGCACCUCGAUGUCGGCUCAUCCCAUCCUGGGGCUGGAGAAGGUCCCAAGGGUCGGGCUGUUCGCCCGUUAAAGGGGUACGUGAGCUGGGUUCAGAACGUCGUGAGACAGUUCGGUCCCUAUCCACCGCGGGCGUAGGAGGCUUGAGGGGAGCUGCCCCUAGUACGAGAGGACCGGGGUGGACGCACCUCUGGUGGCCCGGUUGUUCCACCAGGAGCACAGCCGGGUAGCCAUGUGCGGAAGGGAUAACCGCUGAAAGCAUCUAAGCGGGAAGCCCACCCCAAGAUUAGGCCUCCCGAGGGUGGGGUAACCCACCCCCUGAAGGGUCCGGGGAGAACACCCGGUUGAUAGGCCGGAGGUGGAAGCCCAGCAAUGGGUGGAGCCGACCGGUACUAAUCACCCGUGCGGCUUGGCUGC
rnacentral:rRNA from 1 species